GGAAGUAAUUCCUCCACUGCCAUGUACCACCAUGCAUCACUUCCUUUUUGGGAAAUAAUAGAUUUGAUAUGAUCGAUAGUCUCUUCAUUCAUCAGUGGCUCUUUUGAUUCAACGUGGUAAAAAACUGGAAUGGGGACUCCCCAUGUCCUUUGACGUGAUAUACACCAAUCAGAGCGGCCAGAUGUCAUAGCAGAAAUACGGUUUACUGCCUGAGAUGGAAUCCACGUUACUUGGUUGAUUGCAUCCAUUGCAGCAUCACGAAAUCCUUCCACUGAUGCAAACCAUUGUUCAGUAGCCCUGAA
rnacentral:misc_RNA from 1 species